ensembl:lncRNA
CUGGAGAGAAAUGUUGCAGCAACUUAUUUUUGUCAGACACUGAAAUACUGAAAAAUGAAAUGUCUCAGAAGAUUAUUCUUACAACGGCUGGAUAAUUGUUAAAAUUCUGUAACUAAUACUGGUUGCUAUGACAGCCUAACAUGCUGACAUGCUUUUUAAAAACAAACAAACAACCCCCCCAACAAAGCUUAAAAAUACACAUUUGGACUCUGUAAAGAAGACCGACAUGGCCAUGUAUACGAACCGCAGAGGGAAAGUGGUCCUUCUGGAAGAAGAUCACUGGACGUCAGUAACUCCAAAUCAGUUCCUCGGCGCAUUUGCGCCAUUUCCGCGUUUCGCCUGGAUUCAUCCAAACGCACCGAGGGACAGCUAUGAUGUGGUGUGCGAAAUCGUCUGGAGCAAAGCUACCCAGGUGAAACCUGGAAGAGGUCAAAGUUCACUGGAAAUCCAAGGGAGUAAAGACGACACUCCCUCAGUCAACAAGUCAAGUCAGAGGGCUGAGAAGCAGCAGGAAGACACAGAUGAUUACACGCACUAUGAGGAGGACAAGAAGCAAUACCACACUGACUUCACCCUUCCUUGCCCUUAUCUCUUGGGCCGCAGACAUCACGGCCUAUCCAAGCCCGCAAGGGUGCUGAGCCCUGUGCUGGAAGUGGAGAUGAGGCAAAUUAAGGAAGAGGCGGGCGGAAACAGAAAGUCGUAUUUUCCAUUGUUUUUGAAUUCGCAGUCCUGUCGGGAGAGGGAUGUGCAAGACAAACAAAGGAGUGUUGAAAACUCUCUUCAGAAGAUGCAGGUCUCUCAAUCCAGCAGAGCAGGCACACAGAGCUCUGUACCUGCACCUCAACAUCUGGUGACAAAUCCUGUCUGCUUUGAAGGCCACACCCAACACCUGCCAGACAGAGAAGAUUCUCUACACCCUUCUAAACUACCCGGGGAUGAAUGUGGAAGCGAGAAAGAGCAGAAUGCAAGUAGGGGCUCAGACAGCUACUCUAGUGAUGAUAGUGAUGCUGUUAGUCUACCUGGGGUGCGAAGUUGUGCCAAUGACAGCAGCAAUAAUGACUCAGUGGUUAGUGCAAAAGAGGUGAAGAAAAAGGAAAUUCCAAGCUCGUCUGUUGAGCUGAGCUGCGACAAUGAGCAGGAUUCCUUUUUUACAGCUGAUGAAGACUUUCCUGCUCUCACCACCAUCAACGCUGGCAUUCCGCUAUCUCUCACAGGGCCGCCAGCCUUGGGGAAGAUAAAAGGCCAGUGGGAGAUUCCCCUUUCAUUCCACCCACAUGACAUACCCACUGUCACUUUGGCAAGUGGCGUGAAUGACCCUGUGCAGGCUUCCAUCCAAGGCAAACCAGAAGCACCUGAGGCAAACUCAAAAACCAAAGCACCACCAGCAGUCCCAGUGCAGAACGAGGCUUAUGACCUCUUGGCCGACUUCCCAGCCCUCCAGCCCCCAAAGAACCCUUUAGCGCUUGGUGAAUUGCGUCACAGGAAUCCCAAGACCAACGUUUCAAAGGGGAAAGGAGUUCUCACUCCUGCUCCAAGCCACUGCCAAAGCUCUAGGGGUUCCCAUGAGAGGAGAUUGGAAAAUUCGCCCCACGAGGUCUCCUCCAUCUGUGCAGGAGAUCAGAAAUCUGCUCUGGACCUUCAAACAUUUGGCACGGUCAGCCAUCGCAACUCUUCCACCAUCAGCUGUGAGCAACGGAAGGCCAACAAGCAGCCGCCGCCUAGAGUUGCAGGUGCAGAUGGCGUGGGUGUCAGUGCCAGGUCCUGGGCUAACGCUGCCAAGGCAGGCAUGAAGCAAGCAGCUGCCCCUCAGGAGAAAGCCAGACCUUGUACCUUUCAGCAGAUAGUUACCAUUAACAAAGCCAAAGCUGAAUAUGGUGCCACUCAAAAAAUCAACAAGAAAGCAACAGUUUUCCACCCAGGAUCAAAUCAGAAGGCGAUAACCUUGAAACAGUGCUGCUUUCACCCCUGCAACCAAAUCCACUUAGUUUGCAACCCUCCUGGCUAUCAGCAUUUUGGAGCCCAGCCGCAUCAAGCCAACUAUCCUCCAGGAUUCAGCUGUCCCCGUUUUCCUUUCCAACAGGCCACGGGCAUCCCUUCUGAAAGUGGCCGUGUGAGAUGGCAGCCGUGGUGACACAGUUUUUGUUUUCUUUUGUUUGUUUGUCUUCACCCAUGACAGUUCUGGUCUGUAUAAAAAUGCACUAACCUCAGUUGUUUUUCCUUUAUUAUAAUCCCAAUAAAUAUUUGCAUCACAGUAGCACUUGGGCAUGGGUAAUAUACUCUUCUAUUCUAAAACACUGUACCGUAGUGAAAUUUAUUAAGUGAGGCAGAGGCAAAGGACACACAACAGUCAUUUCUUUAGUUCAUUAGUGAGCAUCUGGAUGCUGUGCACGCACAAGUUAGGCUCUAAAUACAAAAUGCAAACUGUAUGCACUUUCCAAAUGAAUUGAGUGAUGCGUAGUAAUAACAAAAUCUCAUUGUGCUGGGGUGAUAGUGAAAUGACGAUUAUUCAACAGUGCAGUGUCAUUUUCGCCAGCGGACCUUCUCAUACAUAAUGCAUCCAAAUCUUUGCAUUUUUCCUUCUUUCUGAGCUACAAUGCAUAUUUCAUCAAGUCAGUGAAAUAUUAAGC